GCCUGAAGGACUCCGUGGCGCUGGUGGUGGACUGCGAGAAGUCCGCCCGUGUGGAGAUCACGGGCGAGGACAUUGUGUCGCCAACAAAGCGGCGCCACUCCAGGACUUACAUAGAGCUCAAGGGACAGCCGCCACUGUCGGGCAAAGAGGGCAAGAGUGCAGAGCCUUCAGAGAAUUCUCCUGUCAGUGACGAGAAGAAGGUUCAACGCGACUUCAAAAUCUGACACCUGCCUUCUGCUCUGACCACACUUCCAGCUCCCGCAGAGUAAUGGCCGCCUCUCUCUCUCUCUCUCUCUCUCUCUCUCUCCCUCUGUCUCUCUCUCUCUCCUUUAGCAUCUCCUCCCUCCUCAAUUCCUUCAUCCUCAUCCGCUUGACCGAAAAGAAGACGAGUGAACGUGGAGAAAAAAAAAAGAAUAUUCAUGACGAAUAGACGUGACGGAAGAAUAGCAUCUGCCAUUUCCUGGGAAACUUAGCAUGCCGCUAAGACUGCCGCCUGCCAAGGCCUUGCACGUUCUACUCUGUGCAUAUGGCAGGGUUUCACUCAUAACACUACUCACUCUGAGGCGUUUUUUUUGUUCCUGCUUUUUGAUGUCUCUUCUUUCUAGACCAGCCGUGCAGGACUAUGUUUGCCUAUAGGAAAUAGCUCUUCACAAACUUGAAAGGAUGAAGGAGAAACCAAGUGUUUUUUUUUUUUUAUUAUUAUUAUAAUUAUUAUUAUUAUUUUAUUUUAUUACCAUAGCAUUCACCAUCUGUGGGGACCGGAAUUGGGAACAAGGACGGCGCAGUUUAAAUUCCAAAAGCCAGAGCUGUACAUGUGGAUCUCCUGAGAUGCUCAAUGCACACCUUUUAGUCUCUGUCUGUGGACGGGACUGCCCAGGACUCCUCUCAGACUUGCGUCAUUGGAAUACGAAUUAAUGGAAGAUGCCGACAUUGGGCUGUCACUACUUUCGGGGGGGCGGAAAUAUGAACUAUGGCUAUGGGGGAAAAAGAGAAACUGUUGUCCUUAUACCCCACUUGUCCUGGACUAUUUUAUGUAUUGGCACGGAGGUCCUCUAUGUUGCUCGGAUGUUGAGGAUCUCGUGAUGGAUAUCUCCUUACUGGUUUGCAUCGUGCCUCAUCCGCCCCACCUCUGCGGCUCUGAGGGAUCUGAAAAAAAAAAGCAAAGAAAAAACCUCUGUCUCGCUCUUCAGACCCCUCUCAGUUUCAGCCAACAAACCUGGAAUAUA